GACCAGAGUUCGCCACCCCUGAUCUAUAAGGUGUCUGUUAAUCAUAUGGUCAAACAUGUUACGGCUGAUUCAACGGGAGGAUCUGAUAUGCAGCUGGAGAAGAAAGUGCAGUUGCUUGUAGAAACUGCCGGAGUUAAUGAUGGCUACUUACAGCAGGGUGUCCAUUUGUGAUUAGACGCUAUUCAUCACACAGACAAGGGGAACACAUUUGGUGUGAUGUUGAUAAAUCAAAUCAGCUCCUAAUGAUAACGCUUGAGGGGCCUUCCUCUUCAUUUAUAGGUGUGCUUAUCAUCUAGUUAAUCUCACAGAAACCACUCUCCAUCCCAUAAAUGACAUUACUUUUAAUCAUACAUGUUGCAUACAAGCAUCCCGCUCAAGGCAAGUGAUUUGGACUCCCACAUAAUGUCAUGCUAAGUUUCUUUAAAGCUGAUCAUGUUUAAAUUAGGUCUCGGCUCUCAUA